rnacentral:lncRNA from 1 species
GAAGAGAGGGGAGGAGAGCUCUGAGUGGGAAGCGGAGCCGGGGGCCUGGGACCCGUCGCGUCAGAGCCAGGACUGCGAGUCUCUCCGCCCAUCACUGUACAGCCUGGGACUCCGUCCUGGCUCACGGACCGCAGCGCAGCCGGCACCCAGCCGCCUCUCCCUUUCCUCCGCACACGGGCAGCCGCGGUCCACCGUAGGGCAGUCGUCGUUGGCAUCGCGCGUAAUCAUCGGCCGGCCUCCUCCAGUGUCUCCCAGCCCUGGCGGACAGCCCGGGUCCCAGCCUAGGACCCAGGAGGAUGGGUGUUCCGCGCAGCUUCCGGGGCUCUCCCCGAGUCCCACCCCCCGGCCCGCCCCGAUGGACUUCUCUUCGCCCACUCCCAUCCCUAGACCACAUCUCGGCCCCCACAGUUCCUGACAUCCUUGCGCUUCACGCAACAUCGCGGCCCAUGAUCAUGCCCCAAUUCCCCUCACCUCUAAGGCAGCCUUCUCCUUGCCGCCUCCCGCCUUCCGAGCGUGUGCAACUCCAGUUGUCCCCGGGCUCCCUUCCAGCCUCAGGACCCCAUCUCACACCCGCCUCUCGCUUCCCGCUUCCCGCUCGCCUGAACCCCGCCGCCUCUGCUCCCUGUCUUGUUCCCUCAGCGUGGCCCCUUCCUCCAGCCGCGGGAAGUGGGAGACGCUAGCGGGAGCUUCCUCCUCCCGGCGCUCGGAGGAAAAGGAAAGACCAAGUAGAAAGGGUCGCCGCUGCGGCACGCGAGGGAGCUAGUCGCCGGGCUCCGCGCUCCCGCUUGCGUCCCUCCAGCCCCCUGGGCCUCGUCCGGGGCCGGAUCUUCUCGGGCACCGCCUGGUGCGAGGAGUCAGGACUGCGACCUCACCGACCUCCUCCCAUCCCCAGCCUGGGAUUGGGUGGGAUAUCUGGGAUCUCUGAGCUUGGGUGUCAAAAAAAUAUUGGGGGUGGCAUUUAUA